rnacentral:rRNA from 1 species
CCUCGAUGUCGGCUCACCUUAGCGCGGCGGUGGAGAAGCUGCCAAGCGUUUGGCUGUUCGCCAAUUAAAAAGGUACGCGAGCUGGGUUCAGACCGU